rnacentral:rRNA from 1 species
AGAGUUUGAUCCUGGCUCAGAGUGAACGCUGGCGGCGUGCCUAAUACAUGCAAGUCGAACGAUGAAGCUUCUAGCUUGCUAGAGUGCUGAUUAGUGGCGCACGGGUGAGUAACGCAUAGGUUAUGUGCCUCUUAGUUUGGGAUAGCCAUUGGAAACGAUGAUUAAUACCAGAUACUCCCUACGGGGGAAAGAUUUAUCGCUAAGAGAUCAGCCUAUGUCCUAUCAGCUUGUUGGUAAGGUAAUGGCUUACCAAGGCUAUGACGGGUAUCCGGCCUGAGAGGGUGAACGGACACAUUGGAACUGAGACACGGUCCAGACUCCUACGGGAGGCAGCAGUAGGGAAUAUUGCUCAAUGGGGGAAACCCUGAAGCAGCAACGCCGCGUGGAGGAUGAAGGUUUUAGGAUUGUAAACUCCUUUUGUUAGAGAAGAUAAUGACGGUAUCUAACGAAUAAGCACCGGCUAACUCCGUGCCAGCAGCCGCGGUAAUACGGAGGGUGCAAGCGUUACUCGGAAUCACUGGGCGUAAAGAGCGCGUAGGCGGGAUAGUCAGUCAGGUGUGAAAUCCUAUGGCUUAACCAUAGAACUGCAUUUGAAACUACUAUUCUAGAGUGUGGGAGAGGUAGGUGGAAUUCUUGGUGUAGGGGUAAAAUCCGUAGAGAUCAAGAGGAAUACUCAUUGCGAAGGCGACCUGCUAGAACAUUACUGACGCUGAUUGCGCGAAAGCGUGGGGAGCAAACAGGAUUAGAUACCCUGGUAGUCCACGCCCUAAACGAUGGAUGCUAGUUGUUGGAGGGCUUAGUCUCUCCAGUAAUGCAGCUAACGCAUUAAGCAUCCCGCCUGGGGAGUACGGUCGCAAGAUUAAAACUCAAAGGAAUAGACGGGGACCCGCACAAGCGGUGGAGCAUGUGGUUUAAUUCGAAGAUACACGAAGAACCUUACCUAGGCUUGACAUUGAGAGAAUCCGCUAGAAAUAGUGGAGUGUCUAGCUUGCUAGACCUUGAAAACAGGUGCUGCACGGCUGUCGUCAGCUCGUGUCGUGAGAUGUUGGGUUAAGUCCCGCAACGAGCGCAACCCCCUUUCUUAGUUGCUAACAGGUUAUGCUGAGAACUCUAAGGAUACUGCCUCCGUAAGGAGGAGGAAGGUGGGGACGACGUCAAGUCAUCAUGGCCCUUACGCCUAGGGCUACACACGUGCUACAAUGGGGUGCACAAAGAGAAGCAAUACUGCGAAGUGGAGCCAAUCUUCAAAACACCUCUCAGUUCGGAUUGUAGGCUGCAACUCGCCUGCAUGAAGCUGGAAUCGCUAGUAAUCGCAAAUCAGCCAUGUUGCGGUGAAUACGUUCCCGGGUCUUGUACUCACCGCCCGUCACACCAUGGGAGUUGUGUUUGCCUUAAGUCAGGAUGCUAAAUUGGCUACUGCCCACGGCACACACAGCGACUGGGGUGAAGUCGUAACAAGGUAACCGUAGGUGAACCUGCGGUUG